rnacentral:snoRNA from 1 species
AAGAGAAGGUGUGGACAUGCGACAAGAGCUCUCGGAAGCGCUCCCAAGCUUCAUGGAAUGCUUCUCCCGGUUUUUGUUGGAAAUUGGAGAUCUUUGCUUUUAGAUC